rnacentral:rRNA from 1 species
CGGGGUGAGUAACGCGUGGAUAACCUGCCUCACACUGGGGGAUAACAGUUAGAAAUGGCUGCUAAUACCGCAUAAGCGCACAGUACCGCAUGGUACGGUGUGAAAAACCCAGGUGGUGUGAGAUGGAUCCGCGUCUGAUUAGCCAGUUGGCGGGGUAACGGCCCACCAAAGCGACGAUCAGUAGCCGACCUGAGAGGGUGACCGGCCACACUGGGACUGAGACACGGCCCAG